CUACGGGUGGCUCCAGUGAGGAAUAUUGCACAAUGGGGGGAACCCUGAUGCAGCAACGCCGCGUGGAGGAUGACGCAUUUCGGUGUGUAAACUCCUUUUAUAUGUCAAGAAAAUGACGGUAGCAUAUGAAUAAGCACCGGCUAACUCCGUGCCAGCAGCCGCGGUAAUACGGAGGGUGCAUGCGUUACUCGGAAUCACUGGGCGUAAAGGACGCGUAGGCGGGUUGGAAAGUCAGGUGUGAAAUCCUACAGCUUAACUGUAGAACUGCACUUGAAACUUCUAAUCUAGAGUAUGGGAGGGGGAGAUGGAAUUAGUGGUGUAGGGGUACAAUCCGUAGAUAUCACUAGGAAUACCUAAAGCGAAGGCGAUCUCCUGGAACAUUACUGACGCUAAGGCGUGAAAGCGUGGGGAGCAAACAGGAUUAGAUACCCGGGUAGUC
rnacentral:rRNA from 1 species